rnacentral:rRNA from 1 species
UACGUAGGGGGCAAGCGUUGUCCGGAUUUAUUGGGCGUAAAGAGCGUGUAGGCGGCCGUACAGGUCAGCUGUGAAAACUCGAGGCUCAACCUCGAGACGUCGGUUGAAACCGUACGGCUAGAGUCCGGAAGAGGAGAGUGGAAUUCCCGGUGUAGCGGUGAAAUGCGCAGAUAUCGGGAAGAACACCCGUGGCGAAGGCGGCUCUCUGGGACGGCACUGACGCUGAGACGCGAAAGCGUGGGGAGCGAACAGG